GUGCAGUGCAAUGUGUUGUUUUACAGGGUCAGUCAUAGUAGUAUGAUAGGUGCAGUGUAAUGUGUUGUUUUACAGGCUCAGCCAUAGUAGUAUGAUAGGUGCAGUGAAAUGUGUUGUUUUACAGGGUCAGUCAUAGUAGUAUGAUAGGUGCAGUGAAAUGUGUUGUUUUACAGGGUCAGCCAUAGUAGUAUGAUAGGUGCAGUGAAAUGUGUUGUUUUACAGGGUCAGUCAUAGUAGUAUGAUAGGUGCAGUGAAAUGUGUUGUUUUACAGGGUCAGUCAUAGUAGUAUGAUAGGUGAAGUGAAAUGUGUUGUUUUACAGGGUCAGUCAUAGUAGUAUGAUAGGUGCAGUGUAAUGUGUUGUUUUACAGUCUCAGUCAUAGUAGUAUGAUAGGUGCAGUGAAAUGUGUUGUUUUACAGGGUCAGUCAUAGUAGUAUGAUAGGUGCAGUGUAAUGUGUUGUUUUACAGGGUCAGUCAUAGUAGUAUGAUAGGUGCAGUGUAAUGUGUUGUUUUUCAGGGUCAGUCAUAGUAGUAUGAUAGGUGCAGUGUAAUGUGUUGUUUUACAGGGUCAGCCAUAGUAGUACGAUAGGUGCAGUGUAAUGUGUUCUUUUACAGGGUCAGCCAUAGUAGUACGAUAGGUGCAGUGUAAUGUGUUGUUUUACAGGGUCAGCCAUAGUAGUACGAUAGGUGUAGUGUAAUGUGUUCUUUUACAGGGUCAGCCAUAGUAGUACGAUAGGUGCAGUGUAAUGUGUUGUUUUACAGGGUCAGUCAUAGUAGUACGAUAGGUGCAGUGUAAUGUGUUGUUUUACAGGGUCAGCCAUAGUAGUAUGAUAGGUGCAGUGUAAUGUGUUGUUUUACAGGGUCAGCCAUAGUAGUAUGAUCGGUGCAGUGUAAUGUGUUCUUUUACAGGGUCAGCCAUAGUAGUACGAUAGGUGCAGUGUAAUGUGUUGUUUUACAGGGUCAGCCAUAGUAGUAUGAUAGGUGCAGUGUAAUGUGUUGUUUUACAGGGUCAGCCAUAGUAGUAUGAUAGGUGCAGUGUAAUGUGUUGUUUUACAGGGUCAGUCAUAGUAGUAUGAUAGGUGCAGUGUAAUGUGUUGUUUUACAGUCUCAGCCAUAGUAGUAUGAUAGGUGCAGUGUAAUGUGUUGUUUUACAGGGUCAGCCAUAGUAGUAUGAUAGGUGCAGUGUAAUGUGUUGUUUUACAGUCUCAGCCAUAGUAGUAUGAUAGGUGCAGUGUAAUGUGUUGUUUUACAGGGUCAGCCAUAGUAGUAUGAUAGGUGCAGUGUAAUGUGUUGUUUUACAGGGUCAGCCAUAGUAGUAUGAUAGGUGCAGUGAAAUGUGUUGUUUUACAGGGUCAGUCAUAGUAGUAUGAUAGGUGCAGUGUAAUGUGUUGUUUUAC
rnacentral:lncRNA from 1 species